CCUACGGGAGGCAGCAGUGGGGAAUAUUGCACAAUGGGGGAAACCCUGAUGCAGCAACGCCGCGUGAGUGAAGAAGUAUUUCGGUAUGUAAAGCUCUAUCAGCAGGGAAGCGAAUGACGGUACCUGACUAAGAAGCCCCGGCUAACUACGUGCCAGCAGCCGCGGUAAUACGUAGGGGGCGAGCGUUAUCCGGAUUUACUGGGUGUAAAGGGAGCGUAGACGGUUCUGCAAGUCUGAAGUGAAAGCCCGGGGCUUAACCGCGGAACGGCUUUGGAAACUGUGGAACUGGAGUGCUGGAGAGGCAAGCGGAAUGCCUAGUGUAGCGGUGAAAUGCGUAGAUAUUAGGAGGAACACCAGUGGCGAAGGCGGCUUGCUGGACAGUAACUGACGUUGAGGCUCGAAAGCGUGGGGAGCAAACAGGAUUAGAUACCCUUGUAGUC
rnacentral:rRNA from 1 species